rnacentral:lncRNA from 1 species
CUAGAAUACUAUCGGUAGUAAACAGCUCAGAUUACUAUCGAUUUAUUUUCGAUGAUAGAGCUUCCAAAUUGAUGAUCGACACUGUUAAAUAUAAUCUAAACUAUUUAAACUAUCUGAAAAUCAAAUUUCACACAUUUUCGAUAUUGUCCUCUUGUCCAUCAAGUGAACAGAAAAAUGAAUGGCUAGAAAUGAAUAUCCUUCAA